UCCGUAUGAGUCUAUUGCUUUGUAUCUUCUAACAAGGAGAUACUACUUAGGCUUUCAAGAUCCAGUUGAGAUUCUAGUUCUUAUACUCAAUCAUACACAUGACAUAU
rnacentral:sRNA from 1 species